rnacentral:tRNA from 1 species
GCGGCACUGGUACAUUGGCCCUGUGCCCCAGUCUUCCAAGCUGGAGAAGUCGGUUCGAUUCCGACGUGCCGCUCCA